AGGUAGAGAAUACCAAGGCGCUUGAGAGAACUCGGGUGAAGGAACUAGGCAAAAUGGUGCCGUAACUUCGGGAGAAGGCACGCUGGUGUGUAGGUGAAGUCCCUGCGGAUGGAGCUGAGACCAGUCGAAGAUACCAGCUGGCUGCAACUGUUUAUUAAAAACACAGCACUGUGCAAACACGAAAGUGGACGUAUACGGUGUGACGCCUGCCCGGUGCCGGAAGGUUAAUUGAUGGGGUUAUCCGUAAGGAGAAGCUCUUGAUCGAAGCCCCGGUAAACGGCGGCCGUAACUAUAACGGUCCUAAGGUAGCGAAAUUCCUUGUCGGGUAAGUUCCGACCUGCACGAAUGGCGUAAUGAUGGCCAGGCUGUCUCCACCCGAGACUCAGUGAAAUUGAACUCGCUGUGAAGAUGCAGUGUACCCGCGGCAAGACGGAAAGACCCCGUGAACCUUUACUAUAGCUUGACACUGAACAUUGAGCCUUGAUGUGUAGGAUAGGUGGGAGGCUUUGAAGCGUGGACGCCAGUCUGCGUGGAGCCAACCUUGAAAUACCACCCUUUAAUGUUUGAUGUUCUAACGUUGGCCCCUUACCGGGGUUGCGGACAGUGUCUGGUGGGUAGUUUGACUGGGGCGGUCUCCUCCCAAAGCGUAACGGAGGAGCACGAAGGUUAGCUAAUCCUGGUCGGACAUCAGGAGGUUAGUGCAAUGGCAUAAGCUAGCUUGACUGCGAGCGUGACGGCGCGAGCAGGUGCGAAAGCAGGUCAUAGUGAUCCGGUGGUUCUGAAUGGAAGGGCCAUCGCUCAACGGAUAAAAGGUACUCCGGGGAUAACAGGCUGAUACCGCCCAAGAGUUCAUAUCGACGGCGGUGUUUGGCACCUCGAUGUCGGCUCAUCACAUCCUGGGGCUGAAGUAGGUCCCAAGGGUAUGGCUGUUCGCCAUUUAAAGUGGUACGCGAGCUGGGUUUAGAACGUCGUGAGACAGUUCGGUCCCUAUCUGCCGUGGGCGCUGGAGAAUUGAGGGGGGCUGCUCCUAGUACGAGAGGACCGGAGUGGACGCAUCACUGGUGUUCGGGUUGUCAUGCCAAUGGCACUGCCCGGUAGCUAAAUGCGGAAGAGAUAAGUGCUGAAAGCAUCUAAGCACGAAACUUGCCCCGAGAUGAGUUCUCCCUGAGACUUUAAGUCUCCUGAAGGAACGUUGAAGACGACGACGUUGAUAGGCCGGGUGUGUAAGCGCAGCGAUGCGUUGAGCUAACCGGUACUAAUGAACCGUGAGGCUUAACCUU
rnacentral:rRNA from 1 species